UGUAAGCGUAUACCAAAGUUGUUGCAGUUAAAACGCUCGUAGUCGGAAUUUGGCAGUUCCGGAUGUGUGCACGUCGUGUGCGCACUUCGCGGGGAUUGCUUUUGUGGUCUUGCGUAGGAUGAGGCACUUUUAUUAGUGAACGUCCUCACGCAACCACUUUUUACUGUGAGAAAAUCAGAGUGCUCAAAGCAGGCAUUUGCCGUGAAUGUAUUAGCAUGGAAUAAUAGAAUAGGACUUGGUUCUAUUUUGUUGGUUUGUUGGGACUGAGUAAUGAUUAAGAGGGACAGUUGGGGGCAUUUGUAUUUCGGUGCUAGAGGUGAAAUUCUUAGAUUACCGAAAGACAAACUGCUGCGAAAGCGUCCGCCAAGGAUGUUUUCAUUGA
rnacentral:rRNA from 1 species